rnacentral:lncRNA from 1 species
CUCGCUCCUCUCGCUCCAAGGUUGUAUCCAAAGUCUUCUAAUUCGUGCUUGGUUUGGGCUUAAAUAGAUGUCCCAACUUGGUAGAUGAUUUUAUGUUUCCUUGUGUGAUUAAAAGUCCAAAAUUGUCUCCAGCGUGUGUUGGCACGGCCGCGCGAAAAUCAGUGCAAUUCUCACACGGCCGCGCGAGAAUCGCCGAAACCUUCUGCCCAAUUUCUGCUAUUGGCACGGCCGUCCCAUUUUUAGGUGUAAAUUUGGGAC